GACGAACGCUGGCGGCGUGCUUAACACAUGCAAGUCGAACGGAAAGGCCCUGCUUUUGUGGGGUGCUCGAGUGGCGAACGGGUGAGUAACACGUGAGUAACCUGCCCUUGACUUUGGGAUAACUUCAGGAAACUGGGGCUAAUACCGGAUAGGAGCUCCUGCUGCAUGGUGGGGGUCGGAAAGUUUCGGCGGUUGGGGAUGGACUGGCGGCUAAUCAGCUUGUUGGUGGGGUAGUUGCUUACCAAGGCAUUGAUGGGUAGCCGGCCUGAGAGGGUGACCGGCCACAUUGGGACUGAGAUACGGCGCAGACUCCUACGGGAGGCAGCAGUGGGGAAUAUUGCACAAUGGGCGGAAGCCUGAUGCAGCAACGCCGCGUGCGGGAUGACGGCCUUCGGGUUGUAAACCGCUUUCGCCUGUGACGAAGCGUGAGUGACGGUAAUGGGUAAAGAAGCACCGGCUAACUACGUG
rnacentral:rRNA from 1 species